GUUAGGAAUAUUGGACAAUGGGCGCAAGCCUGAUCCAGCCAUGCCGCGUGAGUGAUGAAGGCCUUCGGGUUGUAAAGCUCUUUAGCCGAUGAUUAUAAUGACUGUAGUCGGAAAAUAAGCCCCGGCUAACUUCGUGCCAGCAGCCGCGGUAAUACGAAGGGGGCGAGCGUUAUUCGGAAUCACUGGGCGUAAAGCGUGCGUAGGCGGCUUUGCAAGUUGGGAGUGAAAGCCCAGGGCUCAACCCUGGAAUUGCUCUCAAAACUGCAAGGCUCGAAUUCGGGAGAGGAUAGCGGAAUUGUCAGUGUAGCAGUGAAAUGCGUAGAUAUUGACAGGAACACCAGUGGCGUAAGCGGCUAUCUGGACCGAUAUUGACGCUGAGGCACGAAAGCGUGGGGAUCAAACAGGAUUAGAUACCCGAGUAGCCC
rnacentral:rRNA from 1 species